GUGUGAGUGGUCGUUGGUUUGAGUGAUGGAUCUUCGACUGAGUAAAACUAAAACUACAAAGCUGAUGCUGUCUUUGUCUGUAUCCUUUUUUUUUUUUGCAUUAGAAUAGCUAACAAUUUUUUAUUUGAUGGUACAUUUGAAGAUAUUCAAAAUAUAAAAUGUAUAUCAAUGCUAACCAGUAUAUCAAUAGAAAUUAUUUUUAAUGUAUGAAAUUUA
rnacentral:lncRNA from 1 species